rnacentral:rRNA from 1 species
GAUGAACGCUGGCGGCGUGCUUAAUACAUGCAAGUCGAGCGAACGGACGCGAAGCUUGCUUCUUUGAUGUUAGCGGCGGACGGGUGAGUAACACGUGGAUCACCUACCUAUAAGACUGGGAUAACUUCGGGACACCGGAUCUAAUACCGGAUAAUCUCCUGAACCGUAUGGUUCAAAAGUGAAAGACGGUCUUGCUGUCACUUAUCGAUGGAUCCGCGCUGCAUUAGAUAGUUGGUAAGGUAACGGCUUAUCAAGGGAACGAUGCAUAGCCGAGCUGAGGGGCGGAUCGCCCACACGGGAGCGUGGCCACGGACCAGAGUCCUAAGAGAGGCAGCAGUAGGGUAUCUGAGGCAAUAGGCGAAAGCCUGACGGAGCGGCCGCACGUGUGUGAUAGAGGCCUUCGGAGCGUAAUACUCUCUUAUUAGUGAAGAACAUAUGUGUAAGUAACUGUAGACAGCGUGACGGUACCUAAUCAGAAAGCCACGGCUAACUACGUG